UGAAAAUUUUAAUUUUUUUAUUUUUCAAAAUUUGAAAUCUUAUCCCCUAAACCUCAUUUCUCAACUCUAAACCCUAAACCAUAAACUCUAAACCCUAAACCAUAAACUCUAAACCCUAAACUCUAAACCCUAAACCCUAAACUCUAAACCCUAAACCCUAAACCCUAAACUCUAAACUCUAAACCCUAAACCCUAAACCCUAAACUCUAAAAUCUAAAUCCUAAACCCUAAACUCUAAACCCUAAACCCUAAACCCUAAAUCCUAAACCCCACCCUUUAACUCUAAACCCUAAGUUUGUGACUUUUGAUAAAACAUUAAGUGCUAUUUUUGUAACUUUUGACCUUGAGUGCUAGUUUGGAAACAUAA
rnacentral:lncRNA from 1 species